rnacentral:rRNA from 1 species
GACGAAGGGGGCUAGCGUUGUUCGGAAUUACUGGGCGUAAAGCGCGUGUAGGCGGUUAUCCAAGUCGGGUGUGAAAGCCUUGAGCUCAACUCAAGAAAUGCAUUCGGUACUGGGUGACUAGAGGACCGGAGAGGAUAGUGGAAUUCCCAGUGUAGUGGUGAAAUACGUAGAGAUUGGGAAGAACACCAGUGGCGAAGGCGGCUAUCUGGACGGUUUCUGACGCUGAGGUGCGAAAGCGUGGGGAGCAAACAGG